rnacentral:tRNA from 1 species
AGGGAAUUAGCUCAAGUGGUAGAGCACCCACUUACUGUGUGAGAGGUAGUGGGAUCAAUACCUACAUUCUCCU